UUACUUAAAUGGCAGGGGAGGUACCAUGAUCAGGCAGUGGUUUUCCCAGGGUGAGGCUCAUCCCCUGCACUUUGGGUGUGCUGAUCACUGCGAUUUCCACAAAUGAGGGAAACUCGAUUGCAUAAUUUCUGGUAGUGCAGGAAUGAGUUCACACUCUCUGCC
rnacentral:snRNA from 1 species